AUUGAACGCUGGCGGCAUGCUUUACACAUGCAAGUCGAACGGCAGCGCGGGCUUCGGCCUGGCGGCGAGUGGCGAACGGGUGAGUAAUGCAUCGGAACGUGCCCAGUAGUGGGGGAUAGCCCGGCGAAAGCCGGAUUAAUACCGCAUACGACCUGAGGGUGAAAGCGGGGGACCGAAAGUCCUCGCCCUAUUUGAUCUGCCGAUGUCGGAUUAGCUAGUUGGUGGGGUAAAGGCUUACCAAGGCGACGAUCCGUAGCUGGUCUGAGAGGACGACCAGCCACACUGGGACUGAGACACGGCCCAGACUCCUACGGGAGGCAGCAGUGGGGAAUUUUGGACAAUGGGGGCAACCCUGAUCGAGCCAUGCCGCGUGCGGGAAGAAGGCCUUCGGGUUGUAAACCGCUUUUGUUAGGGAAGAAAAAAUGUGGGCUAAUACCCCGGGGGGAUGACGGUACCGAAAGAAUAAGCAACGGCUAACUACGUG
rnacentral:rRNA from 1 species